UGGACAGGUGAUUGACAGCUGGGUGUUGUAAUGGCCAGCACUGUCACUGUAGAGAUGGGCGGGCCCUGGACAGGUGAUUGACAGCUGGGUGUUGUAAUGGCCAGCACUGUCACUGUAGAGAUGGGCGGGCUCUGGACAGGUGAUUGACAGCUGGGUGUUGUAAUGGCCAGCAUUGUCACUGUAGAGAUGGGCGGGCCCUGGACAGGUGAUUGACAGCUGGGUGUUGUAAUGGCCAGCAUUGUCACUGUAGAGAUGGGCGGGCCCUGGACAGGUGAUUGACAGCUGGGUGUUGUAAUGGCCAGCAUUGUCACUGUAGAGAUGGGCGGGCCCUGGACAGGUGAUUGACAGCUGGGUGUUGUAAUGGCC